rnacentral:rRNA from 1 species
AUUGAACGCUGGCGGCAGGCUUAACACAUGCAAGUCGAGCGGGGUGAUGGUGCUUGCACUAUCACUUAGCGGCGGACGGGUGAGUAAUGCUUAGGAAUCUGCCUAUUAGUGGGGGACAACAUCUCGAAAGGGAUGCUAAUACCGCAUACGUCCUACGAGAGAAAGCAGGGGAUCACUUGUGACCUUGCGCUAAUAGAUGAGCCUAAGUCGGAUUAGCUAGUUGGUGGGGUAAAGGCCUACCAAGGCGACGAUCUGUAGCGGGUCUGAGAGGAUGAUCCACCACACUGGGACUAAGACACGGCCCAGACUCCUACGGGAGGCAGCAGUGGGGAAUAUUGGACAAUGGGGGGAACCCUGAUCCAGCCAUGCCGCGUGUGUGAAGAAGGCCUUAUGGUUGUAAAGCACUUUAAGCGAGGAGGAGGCUCUUUUGGUUAAUACCCAAGAUGAGUGGACGUUACUCGCAGAAUAAGCACCGGCUAACUCUGUGCCAGCCGCCGCCGUAA